rnacentral:rRNA from 1 species
UUAUUGAAUUUGGAGGCUGUCGCUGGCUAGGUGAUUCUAGCAUGUGCACGUCUACACUUUUAAACACACUUGUGAACCCAUUGUAGAUCGAGUCCAUCGAAAAGUAGCAUCGAACUACCUAAUAGAGGGCUAAUUGGCUUAUCGAAAAGUAACCUAAUAGAGGCUUAUUGAAAAGUAGUGUGAACUACCUAAUAGAAAGCUUACCGAAAAGUACCUAAUAGAGAGCUAGUUGGCUUAUCGAAAAGUGGUGAGAAACUACCUAAUAGAGGGCUGAGUUGGCUCAUCGAAACGUAGUUAAUAGAGGGCUGGUUGGCUUAUCGAAAAGUAUGAGGCUUAUUGAAAAGUAGUGUGAACUACCUAAUAGAAAGCUUAGUACCUAAUAGAGAGCUAGUUGGCUUAUCGAAAAGACUACCUAAUAGAGGGACCCAGAAGAUCUAUGUUUAAUUUACACCACAUCGUAUGUCCAGAAAAUAUAAAUAAAUUACAACUUUCAGCAAUGGAUCUCUUGGUUCUCGCAUCGAUGAAGAACGCAGCGAAUCGCGAUAAGUAAUGUGAAUUGCAGAUUUUCAGUGAAUCAUCGAAUCUUUGAACGCACCUUGCGCCCCUUGGUAUUCCGAGGGGCAUGCCUGUUUGAGUGUCAUUUUAUCAUCAACUCAUUAGUCUUUGAUUAGGCUUUUGGGCUUGGACUUGGGAAUUGCUGGCUUGAUCUUUUUACCCAUUGAACAGUAUCUAAUACUUAAUAGAGGGAAAAAAAAAGUGUAGUCGGCUGUCCUUAAAUGCAUUAGCGAGUGUUAGUCUACAUGGCACGGCCUCUUGACGUGAUAAUGAUYGUCGUGGGCUGGAAGUGUAGUGUCUGGCUUYUAAAACCCCGAUUGCGUGCAUACGGCCCAUAAAGCUGGAAGCGCAAUCAAAUCCGACUAACGUGCAUACGGCCCAUAAAGCUGGAAGCGUAGUCAAAAUGACAAGUUUGACCUCAAAUCAGGUAGGACUACCCGCUGAACUUAAGCAUAUCAAUAAGCGGAGGAAAAGAAACUAACAAGGAUUCCCCUAGUAAAUGGGAGUCAAGAGGGAAAAGCUCAAAUU